AUUGAACGCUGGCGGCAGGCUUAACACAUGCAAGUCGAGCGAGCGGCGGACGGGUGAGUAAUGUCUGGGAAACUGCCUGAUGGAGGGGGAUAACUACUGGAAACGGUAGCUAAUACCGCAUACCCUCAGAUGUGCCCAGAUGGGAUUCGCUAGUAGGUGGGGUAAUGGCUCACCUAGGCGACGAUCCCUAGCUGGUCUGAGAGGAUGACCAGCCACACUGGAACUGAGACACGGUCCAUACGCCUACGGGAGGCAGCAGUGGGGAAUAUUGCACAAUGGGCGCAAGCCUGAUGAAGCCAUGCCGCGUGUGUGAAGAAGGCCUUCGGGUUGUAAAGUACGUUCAGCGGGGAGGCGUUACCCGCAGAAGAAGCACCGGCUAACUCCGUGCCAGCAGCCGCGGUAAUUC
rnacentral:rRNA from 1 species